rnacentral:rRNA from 1 species
AACGCUAGCUACAGGCUUAACACAUGCAAGUCGAGGGGCAGCGAGAGGAAAGCUUGCUUUCCUUGUCGGCGACCGGCGCACGGGUGAGUAACGCGUAUCCAACCUUCCCCUUAGUAGGGCAUAGCCCGGCGAAAGUCGGAUUAACACCCUAUGUUAUCCGAAGAGGACAUCUGAAUUGGAUUAAAGGUUUACCGCUAAGGGAUGGGGAUGCGUCUGAUUAGGUAGUAGGCGGGGUAACGGCCCACCUAGCCGACGAUCAGUAGGGGUUCUGAGAGGAAGGUCCCCCACAUUGGAACUGAGACGCGGUCCAAACUCCUACGGGAGGCGGCAGUGAGGAAUAUUGGUCAAUGGACGAGAGUCUGAACCAGCCAAGUAGCGUGCAAGAUGACGGCCCUAUGGGUUGUAAACUGCUUUUAUAAGGGAAUAAAGUGGGGCUCGUGAGCUCCUUUGCAUGUGCCUUAUGAAUAAGGACCGGCUAAUUCCGUGCCAGCAGCCGCGGUAAUACGGAAGGUCCGGGCGUUAUCCGGAUUUAUUGGGUUUAAAGGGAACGUAGGCCGCAGGUUAAGCGUGUUGUGAAAUGUAGGGGCUCAACCUCUGCACUGCAGCGCGAACUGGUUUCCUUGAGUACGCACAAAGUGGGCGGAAUUCGUGGUGUAGCGGUGAAAUGCUUAGAUAUCACGAAGAACUCCGAUUG